ensembl:snRNA U6 U6 spliceosomal RNA
AUGCUGGCUUCCACAGCACAUAUACUAAAAUUGGAAUGAUACAGAGAUUAGCAAGCAUGACACGCAAAUUAGUGAAGCAUUCCAUAUUUUU